CCGCUGCCCUGCAGAGCGACCCGACCCCUCGGCAAGUUCUUCCUCCUGCUUUGGGGCAGACGGGCUUUUGUUUCUGACGGGGCAGUUGGCUCGUGUCUUGGGGCCAUGGUGCCUGAACACGUGUCCUGCGCAUAGAAGCACUAGCUUCCCGCGGACGGCGGCGCACUGCAGCCAGCUGGGGCCGCUGAGAGCGCUGGCCUGGGCGCCCUUCCCUGCCCUUCCGUCCCGUGUCAUCACGCUGCUGGUUUGAAAUGCGCCACAGUGGGAGUGGGUGCCACGGGACUGGCAACUGCUGGAGAGCAGGGCCCCUCCUCCUGAAGAGCCAGCUGUGGGGCAGGUGCCAGCCCAGCACUGCCCCCGGGCAGCAGGUGGGAGCGGGAGGCGGACCAGGGGCCCGAGGGAGCCGCGGAUUCACGGCCUCCAGCCCAGCUCACUCCAGGCGCCUCAGAUGAAAGGGUGAAAGGGUUUGUAAACUGGAAAGAGCUCUACGAGCAGGAGGUGCUGAUGAUUUAGCUCGUGUCGCCUGGCAGCCUGGAGACCUCAGGAAACACCACUGGGUGGGAUCAGCGGGAAGAGUGUACGGGGCCUCCUUGAUCCAUGGUCACACUUCUCAGUCCUGAAUCCCAGGCAGGGCUCGGACCACACGGCCAUGGGCACAGGGGCCCGUUCCCAUGAGCUGAGCACAGGACCGCCCCACCGCCCACCUUUGGGGGCCGCUCACCCACCAGAAUGGUUUCCUCUGGCCUCCCAGCCUCACCGAACGGACAGAGCUCCCAGUAGCCUCACUGGGACGAAACCGCUGCUUUUCUCUUUUGACACCGCAGCACAGCAUAUUACCGAUUUUAGAAAGUACCCACAAACAAAAGACUUAAGAUGUUAAAGUGCUGUAUUUAAUGGAUUCCUCAGCGACUAUAUCGAGACCACGCACACCCUGCGCAUCCUGCCUGUGCUCACAGUCAGAGCCCGUUGGGUUGAAGAGGCAGCAGCCACCCUGGGGGGUGCCCCAUCUCCCCUGCUGCCCUGCCUCUCCCCAGCCUUUUAGGGAGCAGGUGAGGUGAAGCUCUCAGCUGCAGCCACGGAAGGAGGUUGCAUGUCCUUGAGAAUGAGGUCUGUUCUGGGGCCCUGGGGCCUUUCUCUGGAAGGCCGGAGCGGUCCUGGCUCUUCCGGUCAGCCUCUGGCCCUGGACUUGCCAGUGUGCUGUUUGGAUCAGAGAAUGAAGCCAGAGAGUGGAAAAGGGGGGGCAGGAAGAGGCUUUCAAGGGGCCUUGGUGGGACCCUGACAGCAGGAACACUGGGUAUAGGGACAUCCGUUUGAGGUUUAUGAGUGAUGGAUUGCUAAUUUCCUCCUCUUCUGAGUUCCUGCUCUGCAAAAUCCAGUCCUUCCCCCUUUGUGUCUCCUUUACUGUCACCGGUCACCAAACUCACACUUCUGAUACCAGAUCUGAGGGUUUUCCCCUACAUCAAACAAUUCUGGGACGCCAGAAUUGUUGAUUCCUACCAUUCAACUCAAUUCUGACACUGUCUACUUAGAGAUCCCACAAGACCAUCACCGCCCCCUCACCUCCCUGCAACACACACACACACACACACACACACACACACACGCUCUCGAGGCUGUUACCUGUGCUUCUGACUGAUCACCUGUAAAUUAGAGGUUCCCAUGAACCCCUCCUCAGAUUCAAUUAAUUUGCUAGAAUGGCUCAGAGGACUCAAGAAAAGUUUGCUUACAGUUUUCCCAGCUUAUUAAAAGAUGAUAAACGACACAGAUGAAUGUUCAAAUGGAAGACAGGUGUAAGGCAAGGUGUGUUAGAAGGGGUCCCCUGACUCCCUGACCCCCUAGGCACACCACUCUCCCCACACCUCCAUGUGUGGGCCAACCUGGAAGCUCUGUGAACCCCAUACUAUUCGGAUUUUUACAGAGGCUCCCCACAUAGGCCUGAUGGACUGCUAACCCCAUUUCCUGCCCUGCUACCCUCUCUGGAGAAAUGGGUGGGGCUGAAACUCCUAAGCUGCUAAUCAUGGCUUGGUCUCUCUGGCAGCCAGCCCCCCACCUGGAAGCCACCUCAUUAGAACAAAAGACAUUGCUCUUACCAGGAAAUUCCUAGGGAUUUUGGAACUAUGAGUCAGGAACUGGGGGUCAAAGCUGAACAUUGGAACAAAAGAUGCUCCUAGUACUCUUAUCACUUAGGAAAUUACAAGGUUUCAGGAGCUCUGGGCCAGGAACUGGGGCCAGAGACCAAUAUAUGAAUUUUCUAUUAUUUCACAGUUAUCGACCAUUGAUGGUCCCACUGGCCCCUCACGCUCAGACCCCUGGGCUGGGGCUCCCCUUCCUGCCCAGGGUCUCUAUAGGCCAGCACACUCCCUGCUGCGCAGCUUGGGGUCUGUCUGCCUCCACCCCUCCCAUCCAGUGUUUUGCCAAGCGAAUCUACACCCUGUCUCCACCCUGUCACCUCUGUACCCCAUCCUGACCCUGACUCCGCCCCUCAUCUCUGCCUGGAUUUUGGUGACGUGUCCUGUGACGUCUCCUGUCUGGCCCCUUGGCUCGAGUGUCCCCCAGGAGGCCUGAUUGUCCUGAAGAAUCCUCCUGAACUAGCCUCUGGUCCUGCCUCAGCCCUGUUCAGAGAGCUUCACUGAUGGCAGCUUAUCGCAGAGUUUAUUUCAGAUGCCUCAGCCUUGCUUUCAGCAUCCUCUACAGCCUCCCUGCUCGAAGCGAAGCGGGGUCCUCAGACCUGCAGCACCAGCGUCACCUGGGAGCUUGUGAGAAAUGCAGAAUCUGGGGCCCCCCAGGCCUCCUGAAUCAGAAUCUGCUUCUUAACAAGAUUGCCAAGUGAAUCGGAUGCAUAUUCAAGCAGGAAGAGUGCUGGCAUUGAGCUCAGGAUUUUUUCCUCUCCAUCCCUUCUCUCUUCCUGGGGUUGCUAGUUAUCUGUGUGUAUCUCCACUGGCAGUCCCAUACUGCUCCUCUUUGUUCUAAUUGCUUUCCAAUUAUAUUCUCUAUAAUAAUUUUCUCGUCCUGUCUUCCACAUCACUGGUAUGGUUUCCUGUAGUGUUGAUUGCAUUCUUCACAUUUUUUAAAUCUGCAAAAGAAUUACUUUUCUCCUCAAUUAUUUUCUUAGCCCACCCCCCAUCCGCUUGUGAUAUCUUCGUUCUUCUUUCCUCUCCAGUUUCGUCAGCCUUUUGCAAACUCUUGUUCCAUUAUUUUGGAAGACCAGAUAUUUGUGCAGGUCUCAUGUCAGUGUUUUUCUUUCUUGCUGCUUUUUCACCUUUGAUCGGGGUCUGUCUACUUGCCCUGUCUGGGUCCAUUGCUCCUAGGGUCCAAACUGGUGCACUUUGUGGUCUCAGGGUUAGAGUGUUAGCAUUUCAUAUUCAUUUCUAUGAUAAUCUGAACAUUACUAUGUGAGAUUCCGGAUCCUGCAGGUGACCGCCGCAUGGGGAGGGCUUUUCAGUUCGCUUUUGUCCUAAAGCACCCCACGGGAGGGCCCGGUGACAACACAGAGCAUGACCCUGCUGGGGGCUGCUGAGUGCGCGGUUUAUGUGGAGGAGAUGGGUGGGAGGGAAGGCCCUGGGGGGGGGGGGUGCAGAAUGACUACGAUGACACAUGCUGAGCCUUGGGGUGCACCCACGGCCCUGAGCGCUGACCACAUAUCAUGAACUCAGUGACUCAUGCAGCAGCGCUGUGAGGGAAGGCCUUUGAUGACUCCACCCCCAGGCAGGUGAGAGACUGAGGCACGGGGAGACCCCUGCUCAAGUAGACAGCAGGAAGUGGGGUCGGGUACAGAGUAGGCAGUGUGGCCCCAAAGUCCCAUUUCUCCCCAUGAGUGAGAAGACUCACUCCAUUCGCCCACAGGUCACUUCAUCUAAAGCCAGUUUGCUGACAGGCAGUUGACAGAAUCCAUUUCCUAAAUGAGCAAAUCACUGAAUGACCAAUUUGCUUAAUUUGCUAAACUUAUCAAGUAUUUACUUCUACCAAUUAUUGAUACAGUUUAUGACAAUUUGAAUAGGGUGGAUUCACAGGGUUCAUGAGAAUUGGGGGGAGCAAGGACCCCAGGGUUCUGGGUCAGACUGCCUCCUGACCUCAGUCUCCCCUCUCUCUGCCUGUCAGCCCCCUCAUCAUGCUGCCCCCACACCCCCUUUCAGGGGCCACCCAUUCAGUCUGUCCUAUGAACUGACUUCCCUUCUUUCUUCUAGCAGGGAACUGGGUAGAGAAACAGCACACAUUGCUUAAGGUCCUCGUAGAAGAAGUAAUGAAAACCUGUCAACUAAAAUACAGAAGAAAUCUUCAAGAGCUGUUAAACCAUUCCAUCCAAUAUGAAUUGCUUUAAGCGUUAUACAUAGUUCAAAGAAAGAAGUUUCUGGUAAAUGGACAGAUUUGAUCAUUACAGUGAGAUGACAAUCUUCGCUGAAGUGGCAUCUGGCAACUGGGCUUACUUCUGCCCACCAGCACCUCUCAAACAGGCACGCCAACUCGAAAGUUCCUGCUCCAUAGCUGUCAGGGGCAUAUCUGACUUGCAAGCAAAGAUUUGGGAUUCUAGCUUUGUGGCACCAACUUAUUAAAGUUCAUUAGCAGUCAUAUAAUAAAUACCCACGAUUGUAGCAAAGGC